CAUGCUCUAAUCUAAAUUGAGAGGCGACAUUCCUGCGUGCCUCUCUUUCCGCUCUUGAUUGUGCACAGGUGAAGUAAAUGAACAGGACUCCCUAAAGGACAGAAGCACACAGCCAGUGAGCAAGCCUCUCUCCCAGCAUCCUACGGUGCAGACACACAGCGCUCAGAUGGCAGCCUGCUCCUAUGAACUAAAGUGAAGAACGGACCUGAACCCCGUCCUAAACGGAGAAGGGAACCUGUGUAGAGAAAGCGAUUCAAUGGAGAGCUAGUAAGGAGAAGAGGCCUUACUAAAAGUGGAGGAACUGACACCACGUUGGACUCGACUACACAGGCUACAUUUGGAUGAAUAUUGACUGUUGGAAAAUAAGAAAUGUUGAUUGGUGGAUUUUACCCAAUCGGUUUUUGGGAUGGAAUUUCUAUUUUUUUAGGAGACUUUAUUUUUUUUUAAAUAAUAUUUUUGACACUUCCUAACUUUUUCCAAAUAAAGUAUUAUUAAUUAUG